rnacentral:tRNA from 1 species
ACGAGGGUGGCGGAAUUGGCAGACGCGCCAGGUUUAGGUCCUGGUCCUGAAAAGGAUGUGGGUUCGAGUCCCACCCCUCGUA